CGGAGCCAAGUCCCCUGGGGUCUGAGGACUGCAUUCCUCCGAGGUCUGCGGAGGCCACUGCUUAAAGGCGCAGAAGUGCAGCUGGGAACGAGAACAAAGCGGCCAGACCCCCCUCGGAGGAAGGAAGGAGCGAGCCCCAGGAAGCAGCUGAUAGCGCUAAGCUCAGCUUGUUUUUUCCUCUGCUCAACAGUUCUCCUGCCACGGCAAACAAAAGACGUACGUUCUGAUUCCCUCCGGUGUUUGGAUUGCGCCGCAGACUAGGUCUGCUUUGCGAAGAGCUGAGGGAGAGGCAUCGCGGGCGGCUUCUGGCUCGACCUGCCGCUUGAUGGCAACGCUGUCCGCUCUGCCCGUCCCCAGCCAGGAGCGCAUGGCCACACUAGGACCCCAUGAGGGCAUUGCUCUAGAUCAAGGGAUGGGAUGUCGAGAGUUCUACCCGUUGACUCGUGACCUUGGCUUUGAAGGACCUGCAGCGUAGGACUUAAAAAAGCUGUAAAGAUAGGAACCCUAACCCCUCUCGGAUCCACGGAGAUGCCUUGUCCCGCUAUCAUCUCAGCCAAGGUCACAGCCCGCUGUUGUGCAGGGCCACGCUGGGACUACAGAGUGCAGCCUGCCCUGCUGGAACUGUGCCACCUUUCUCCCAUGGGUCAGGGCAAUGGCAAUAGAUGGCAGGUUCUUGGAGGAUCGGGUUCCGAAUCCCGGUCUGUCCCCUUCAAGGUCACCAGUAAGUGACAGGUGGGUCUAACUUAAUGAAUGAGCUUAAUGAAGAGAAGAGACUUUGUACUCCCGGGUGGGAGCGGUGAGGGAGUGGGUAGACCUUGUCAGUGUCCUAAACCAUCGUCUAGGGACAGGGACAGGCCGAAGUGCGAUAGCAGUGCUGGGCAUGGUUUGUUUUGAUCGAACAGGUGUGGAACGUGUGGCUAUGCCAAAGGCCAACUGAAAAGUCAACAGCAAACCCACACGAAGCAAACACGAGGCUUCCACUGAUGGGUCUGUGGGCUUUACAGUGCGGGCAACGUCAGUGCUGGUCACAUAGACGGAGAGACCGUUUUUUGAUGCCAGAGAUUAAUGCUUCAGUCCGUCACCACGGGGGUUAAAGGAGCAGCAAGAGACCACGUGGUUGGACCCUGCUCCAAGCUGAGCUGCCUGGCGUUCUCUCCUCCCCUCCCACUCUGAGGCUGCAGUUCACAUACCGAAAACAAAUGGCAUAAAGGGCAGGCAGUUAAUUUUUCAGCUGGAGACUGAUGGAAUGUGGGUGUCUGGCAUGCACCUCUGCCUCCAGUCUCCUCAGGGAAAUACCUCCCGGAGGGCCCUUCAAAUUCCUCAUCUGCCCUUUAGGACCAAUAGGUAAUUCAGUUCUGAAAAAUCAGUCGGAAUGGGUCUUAUGUCCACUAUACCAAGAGCCCAAGGAUUGCACAGACGACAGGCCCAUUCGUUUGUGGUUUUGUUUUGUUUUGUUUUUUUGUUUUCUAACACAAGGUUUCAUGUAGUUCAGGCUGGCCUCAAACUCACUAUGCAGACAAGGCUGGCCUUGGAAUUCUGAUCCUCCUUGUUGGGGUUACAGGUAACUGAGGGGACAGUUUGUCAUGAGUUUACUUGGGGAGAGAGAAAGGUCGUCUUAGAAUAUACCUCAGGGUCUAGAUUCUAAGUCCCCAGAACCUCUGUUGGGUUGGACCAGGAGAGCCAGCCUGGUGAACAAGGAUGCAGAGAAGCCUUGGGGGCGGGGUGCACACCUUUAAUCCUAGCACUCCGGAAGCAGGGGCAGGUGGAUGUCUGAGUUCUCUAGGCCUACUGUGGUCUGUAGAGUGAGUUCUAGAACAGCUAGGGCCACAGAGAGAACUGUCUUAAAGGGGAGGAGGGGCGCUGAGGAAGUGGGGAACCAUGCAGGGAAGCAUAUUAACAUAACAGCGGAAAGUUGUGACAUAACCUGGAACUGAAGAAAAACUACUGCAUCCAUGUUGAUAGAAUGAAGGUGUAGGAGGUAAACAUGUAGGCUCAGGCUGAGCGGGGAUAAAACUCAUAGUAAAACACAUAUCUAGCAACACAGGUUCAAGGUCCAGAGUUGCUGUUGAAGAAGAAGAGGAGGAGGAAGAGGAAGAAGAUGAUGUAGGUCUGUUAGGAUGGAUGGGCUGUAGCUGGGUGUUAACACAUGUGUUAAGGCUCAGCGUGUGCAAAGCCUUGCAUUUGAUUCCCAGAAGCAUAUAGGCGUGGUGGUGCAUUUCAGCAUUUCGAAAGCCGGAGUUAGAGGAUCAAAAUUUUAAAACAAUCCUGGGCUACAUGAGACCCUUAAAAAAGAAAACAAAUAAAAUACAUUCUUCUGUUGGAAAUUUAGGAGGGUGACCUCA
rnacentral:lncRNA from 1 species